UUUGUUUUUAUCCAUCUAUUUUAAUUUGCCCAUACAAUUUGUCAAGGAGUUAGAGUAUGGCAAAGUUUAUUGAAUAAGAAAUAAAACAAUUUGAAGAUCAACAAAUGAGGUGAGAAUAUAUCAAACUGAUGAUAGGAGUCUGCGACCUAGCAUACAACGCGUUUAAACUAGACCAUAAUCUUUUAUCUUAUAUAUGGAGUUUGCUACAAUAGAUCCCCUCAUUUUUAUGAAGGUCUAUUUUAGCAUGAUUCACCUUUUUGUUUAGGACAAAAACACCCAUUUUGUAUUCUUUUAAAACAUAUAAAUCUGAAGGGUAAACAUGUAAUUCAAAUAUUACUAAUUAAUGUUUUUUAUUUCUUGUAUUUUUUUCCUCUCCUCCAUCUCUCUCAUCGAUUUUCUCUAUGAGUUUCUAUUGCUUCCAUUCUUCUCUUCCUUUUUUUUUUUUUUUUUUAAAUUUGGGUGAAAGGAUAAGUUCUUGAAGAGAUUGGAAAACAUAAAUUAAGAAUUGAAGAUUGAACAUCUGGAAACCACAACAACACAACAUAUUCAAACACAUCUAUAAACAACUUUGGCAAAAUAAAUUUUGUUGCAGGAAAUGAAAAAGAUGCAUUCCCAACAUGUAAAGUUCAAUUCUCAUAUAUGAUUUGUAAUUAUAUUGGAUUGGAUUUCUUUUUUCUUGCUUCCAAUAAAAUUAGUUUGGUUUUGUGCGUUUGAAAUUUUUUAGGAACAUGAACAAAAAAACACAUCAAAGAAGAAAACGUGAAUUGAGAAAGAGAGGAUGACAGAAGAAAGAGAACGAGUGGGACCCAAACAGAAGAUCAAAAGUAGAAAAUAUAAAAGAAAAAUGUUCCAUAUACACCCUUUAUUCAUCCCUCCCAUUAUACACCCCAUAUAUUAAGUAUAUUUUGAUAAGUUCAUCUCACAACC
rnacentral:lncRNA from 1 species